GUAGUGCGACUGCAAGGAGAUUCGACAGGGUGGUGAGCGGCGAGAGGCGGUGCCACCGAUGACGACACAAAAAGCAGAACCGGCAGCGGCAACAACGUCGACUGCGACGACAACGACAACGGCAACAGCAAGUUGCAAUCCAAUCGUUCGAGGGCCUCUGGCUCGCUUUUUGGCAGGCCGCACGGCCAGUCGUCAGUCAGUUGGCCAAGAAACUGGUAGCGUCUGGUGUGGCGAGCCAACAAAAGGCUGGCAGGGCGGCCAACACCGGACUUGGACCCGGAUCCGGCAAUCGCUAUCCGGGUCCAUGUCCACGUCCAAGCUGCGGCUGCCAAUUGAGCGGAGUUGAGUUUGAGUUUGUGCUUGAAUUUGACGCGUAGCCAGCCAAGAAAAGUGGCCAGCCAGCCAACAACAAGGUGACGCAGGAUGUGGCCAAAAGCACAAGGAAGAAGAAGAGCUAGCGUGGAUGGAGGUGGAGGGAAGCGCACUUUUUGGCCACGGUCCGCAUUUGAUUAGCCAACUCAAACACAUCAGGGCCAAGAUCAGGGCAACAACAAACAGCCGCAACCUGAUGGCCCAUUGACAGACACCCACACCACUAACACACACACACAUAAUCGACUUAUCCAGCAUGGAUGUGCCACAGUGAAGCCCGGACAGUAGUGAACACCUGACGCUGUCCAAACUGAUACUCGCGUCCGUCUCGAAAAUACAGCAAAUAAGAAGUAAAAAAAAAACAAUAAACAAUUAAAUAAAGAAAGAGUAUUGCUUCGCAGCUGACAACAACAGCAACAACAACCAGUUGCUCUGCGGUGUAAAAGUGUGUGUAUUCGCGCGCGUGUGUGUGUGUGUGUGAGUGCGUGGAAACUGACCAACGUUUGGUGCCAAAAAAAAAAAACAAGGAGAGAGAUCCUGUCAAAAAAGUAAACCCUGGCUCGGUCCCAAACAACAACAGCAGCCAUGAUUUGGCAAGUUGAUUGUUUCAUCUGGCCAGGCUUAAUGAAAGGACUCGUACUUGUCCUGGCCAUCAGCACGUCAAGCGAGGCAAACGCCAGCGAAGGCUCAAAGGAUAAGCAUCUCCAGCCACAUCGGAGGGUUACUCCAGAAAAUAUUUCGAAAAUAUUUCAACUGGAGAAGCCAUUCAUACAACUAGGAAUACCGGAGAAGUAACAUCAACUCCAAAACUGCAAUUUCGAAGAAAAAAACAACAAAAAAAAUGAAACAAAAAAAUAUUCGAAAGCAAUAUUCCACCAAACGGAGCCUUAACAACUACAGCACCAUAAAUAUUAUAUAUAAAUAUAAAACUAUUUAAAAUUAUACUUAGUUCCACAACAAAAAAUAAACAAUAAUCGACUAUGAUAUAACCAUAAAAUAUCCAAAGAACAAUAACUCCAACAGAUACUAUAUAGCCCUUUAAUAUAUGACUUUACCAUAAUUACAUAAGCCAUAGCGAUAUGGUACAAAAUAAUACGUAAAUAACUCAAAGUCAAAAGGGUUAUAGCGGAAAAUAUGUACAUUUUAUUAAUAAACACUCCGAAGCAAUAUAUAAUAUAGUAAAAUAUAAACCGGCUCUUGGUAAUUUGUGGCAAGGUCAAUGUGGAAGAUGUUAAACCAUUAGCAGAAAAACGUAGAAACGUGGAGAGCAUCCGAACGAGGAAGAGUGCCGAAAAAUGCUACUAAUGGCCUAAAGGAAGCCUCGUUGGCCAAUUGAGGAGGAGAGCCUGAAAAGUCGAGCCGAACUGCCGUUGCAACCGCCGAAGGUCUGACCAACCAAUGGCGGCGCAAAGCGGCAACGAAGCCCGGCCAGGAUGGAAGGAGAAUCUCCGGGAAAUGGAAUUUGGCAAAGCGUCCGUGCAAGCUUUGCAGCUGGGAAUGCAUUUUUUGGCAACGUGACAAGCAGCCCCGCAAGGAGCCCACUCACACACACAAUCCAGCAAACGAAGUUUUCCGCCUUGCUCACACGUCGUAUGAGUAAUAUAUCAAGUAUACGCCUGUUGGCCGGGCAGAAAACUUUCAACACACGUUUGUGUGUGUUUGUGGGCCGAAAGGCUGCCGAAAGAAGUGUUGCCAAAUGCAUUCUCGGCUGUCGGCUAUAUAGUUUGCGCAACUCCUGACCCGAAGAUGCCACCGUUCCUCCGUCAACGACGAGUCCUUUGCAGGCAGCGCAUUGGCUGCAGGACGACCGGCGACAGAACGACCAAUCACCAAUCGCAAGUGGGCUUGUGCGCACUAUCCCGGUCGCAUGGCACUGCGUCCAGGACCUUGGCCACAUACCUAGAGCUUGUUGUGAACUUUUAAAUAUUUAAAAUCGUAGUCUCCUUAAUUAGCAGUAGUCAUAAAUAGUCUUAAUUCACUUGACCAAUGCCUGCAGACCCCGAAACAACAUCUACACGGGGUCACGUUAUUUUAUCUAAAGUAUACUUAGUUUCAAGCGGAAACUAUAUAAUGAUGAUUUCAGAAAUGCAUAAGAGAAAAAGAAAUAAAAACUGUAAAGCUUGAGAGCCGCACACCAAAA